GGAAGUAAAAGUCGUAACAAGGUCUCCGUUGGUGAACCAGCGGAGGGAUCAUUAACGAGUUUUCCAACUCCCAACUCUUUGUGAACAUACCUAUCGUUGCUUCGGCGGACUCGCCCAGCGCCUGGACGCGGGCCUGGGCGGCGGCCGUCGGGGGCCCCAAACACUGUAUCUACCAGUUUUUCUGAAUCCGCCGCAAGGCAAAACAAAUGAAUCAAAACUUUCAACAACGGAUCUCUUGGCUCUGGCAUCGAUGAAGAACGCAGCGAAAUGCGAUAAGUAAUGUGAAUUGCAGAAUUCAGUGAAUCAUCGAAUCUUUGAACGCACAUUGCGCCCGCCAGCAUUCUGGCGGGCAUGCCUGUUCGAGCGUCAUUUCAACCCUCGACGUCCCCUGGGGGAUGUCGGCGUUGGGGACCGGCAGCACAUCGCCGCCCCCGAAAUGAAGUGGCGGCCCGUCCGCGGCGACCUCUGCGUAGUACUCCAACUCGCACCGGGAACCCGACGUGGCCACGCCGUAAAACGCCCAACUCUGAACGUUGACCUCGGAUCAGGUAGGAAUACCCGCUGAACUUAAGCAUAUCAAUAAGCGGAGGA
rnacentral:rRNA from 1 species